rnacentral:lncRNA from 1 species
CAGAAGGUCUGCAUCCAGGGCACUGCGCUGUGGGACUCCAAGGGCUACGUUUGGGGGCCUUGUUUUGCCUUGCAAGGCUUUAAUGGUGGAGAGGCAGUGCCACUGGGCCUGGGGAGGGGGUGUGCUCUCCUUGCUGAUGGCGGGGACCACAUCCUGCUUGCCCUGUUUGGUGGGAGGAUGGCCUGGAGGUGUUCACCAGUACCAGACAGUCCCCUGGUCGUGAGCCUUGAACUCCAGAACUGCCUGCAGCAGCUCAGCCUCACUCACCGUGUGCUAGACAUGUAGCUGACAGUCUGGCUACUCAGGGGGACUUUGAGCUACAAUUUCUGACUGACUCUUUAAGCUCUGCAGCCAGCUUAUUCUCUCAGAAAUCCGGUGAGUGCUGGGUAGGCCAGCUCAGUCCUGACCAUCGGGAGGGAGGGAGAAGCUGCCUCUCUGGCAAAGAAGCCACCAAGAGGAUGAGGAAGAGGAGGAGAAGGAUUGGUUUUCAGGUUGCCUCCCCCAGAGCAAGAACUCCUGUGGGGACGAAAGCCCCAAUAUCCGCCGCCUGCCCGCAAGCCUUGCCAACCGGCUCUUCAGGUGAGUCAUGCUCAUCCACCCCCCUCCCAGGCACACACCUCCAGAUGUUCUGGAAAAUAAGGAGACAACACUGGGGACAGAAUAUUAAUCCAUAUAUGGAGAUCUUUCUACCACUACAAGCACCAUCAUCAAAGAACCUUGUAAGUAAAGACACCUGUCCCACCUCCCACCCAUGUGGAAGGCUUGGCCUUAUAGACACCUCUGCCCCCUCAUACUUCAGAGCCCCAGCUGACCAGACCCGCGGUGAGGCCCAGGGUAAGGCCAGCGAACUCUGCCUUGGCUGAUGUGAGAGGGAAAAUAAAUGAGCUGGAUCAACAAGAGUCUCUUGCAAGGGAGUUUAAGUUAGGAACCACAGACUCGUGGCAGUGCACUGGGAGCGGCUGCCCAAGUUUGUGGUGUAGAGACCUGAGUAGCCACAGCAGGCCACGUCUAAGCUGGGAUUGAGAGGAGCCACCAGCAGGCACAGCUACAGGUAGACAGAAGUAACAACUGUGUGCUUUUUUUCCCCUAUUGCAUUUUGUCUAAAGUCCCACACUAAAAGAAUCAAAUUUUCCCUUUCAUUGUUUUUCUUCUAAUCUAAAAAUGUUCGAAUUGCUGUCCCCAGUGUAACAUCUGUGUUCCUCUGAGGCCCGUGACAAUCUGUGGGUCUUAUCUGCAAGCCCAUCUCUUUUCAGUAGACAAUGCCCCCAGCUGAAUAAAGUAAACACUUUUCAACAUUAUUGAGCAACUCUGAAGAUCUGCUGGAAAUUACUGUCUCGCUGGAGAGUCACUGCACUGCUUGUAUUUAUGAUGUACCCAUGGGCACACAAGUCAGAGAGAUACCUGGGUGCCUUCAAUUUACAGCAAGGAAAUGAAGCCAGGCAAGGGACAAGCUGCAUUCCUAGAAUUGCUGCCUGGGCACCCAGAGGAAGGAGGCUCGGCACCUGCCCGAGGAGGUAUUAUGGCUUCAAGUGCAGUGAGGGGCGUAUGGGGCUGAGUAUCUUUUUCACAUACACAGUACAAUAUAGUAUAGCAAUAAUUAGAAAAACAACCUGCCUUAAAUUUUUUUACUGUUUCUCGAGGACAAGUUCGCAAUAUAUGUCAAAAACUGUGAAUUAUGUGUUUCCUUUACCCAGCAAUUCCACUUUCAGCAAUUUGUGCUAAGUAAAUAAUAAAGGACAUGGAAGAAUCUUUAUUUCAACCUUGUUUAUAAUUUUAAAAACCCUGAGAACAACCUAAAUUUCCAACAAUUGGGGAGUGGCUGAGUAAAUUAUGGCAGAUUCAACAGAAUACUAUGCAUCCAUUAAAAAAAUUCUAUUGUAAAAAUGUCUUUCUUGAUAUGAAAAGAUAUUCCUGAUAUUGUUGCAUUAAAAAAGG